CCCUUAGACGUUCUGGGCCGCACGCGCGCUACACUGACGAAGGCAACGAGCUUUCCUUUACCGAAAGGUACGGGUAAUCUUUUGAAACUUCGUCGUGCUGGGGAUAGAUCCUUGCAAUUAUUGAUCUUAAACGAGGAAUUCCUAGUAAGCGCAAGUCAUCAACUUGCGUUGAUUACGUCCCUGCCCUUUGUGCACACCGCCCGUCGCUACUACCGAUUGAAUGGUUUAGUGAGGCCUUCGGAUCCGCGACUCGUUUUGUGGAGAAGUUGGACAAACUCAGUCAUUUAGAGGAAGUAAAAGUCGUAACA
rnacentral:rRNA from 1 species